rnacentral:rRNA from 1 species
UGCCAGCCGCCGCGGUAAUACGAAGGGGGCAAGCGUUGUUCGGAAUUAUUGGGCGUAAAGCGUAUGUAGGUGGUUUUUCAAGUCAGACGUGUAAGCCCUCGGCUCAACCGAGGAAUUGCGUUUGAAACUGAUUGACUUGAGUAUAGGAGAGGAAAGCGGAAUUCCCAGUGUAGCGGUGAAAUGCGUUGAUAUUGGGAAGAACACCGGUGGCGAAGGCGGCUUUCUGGCCUAUUACUGACACUGAGAUACGAAAGCUAGGGGAGCAAAGGGGAUUAGAUA